AGUGAACGCUGGCGGUAGGCCUAACACAUGCAAGUCGAACGGCAGCACAGUAAGAGCUUGCUCUUACGGGUGGCGAGUGGCGGACGGGUGAGGAAUACAUCGGAAUCUACUUUUUCGUGGGGGAUAACGUAGGGAAACUUACGCUAAUACCGCAUACGCUCUACGGGUGAAAGCAGGGGAUCUUCGGACCUUGCGCGAUUGAAUGAGCCGAUGUCGGAUUAGCUAGUUGGCGGGGUAAAGGCCACCAAGGCGACGAUCCGUAGCUGAUCUGAGAGGAUGAUCGGCCACACUGGAACUGAGACACGGUCCAGACUCCUACGGGAGGCAGCAGUGGGGAAUAUUGGACAAUGGGCGCAAGCCUGAUCCAGCCAUACCGCGUGGGUGAAGAAGGCCUUCGGGUUGUAAAGCCCUUUUGUUGGGAAAGAAAAGCAGCAGGUUAAUACCCCGCUGUUCUGACGGUACCCAAAGAAUAAGCACCGGCUAACUUCGUG
rnacentral:rRNA from 1 species